rnacentral:rRNA from 1 species
UACGAGGGGGGCAAAUGUUGUUCGGAAUCACUGGGCGUAAAGGGAGCGUAGGCGGGUUUCUAAGUCAGGUGUUUAAUCCCGGGGCCCAACCCCGGACAGGCACUUGAAACUGGGAAUCUUGAAUAGGGGAGAGGUCAGUGGAAUUGGAGGUGUAGCGGUGGAAUGCGUAGAGAUCUCCAAGAACACCAGUUGCGAAGGCGGCUGACUGGACCCAUAUUGACGCUGAGACACGAAAGCGUGGGGAGCGAACAGG